GGUAUAAUUGACAUACAGUGUUGUCUUAGUUUCAGUGUACAACAUAAUGAUUUAAUAUUUCUGUAUAUCGCAAAAUGAUCACCACAAUAGCAUUUCAAUUGUCUGAGAACAGACAAAACCAAAAUCUUCCAUCCAUGAGAAGAUAUCAUUCUCCUUGGCUGGUCAUGCACCAGCAUGAUGAGGUGUGUAUCAGUCUAUUCACUAAACUAAUGACCUGUUAAUUCAGAGCCAAAAAUAGCACUGAAACUGAGAAGGCACUUAGAUCUGAAGGACUGGCUCUAGUCCCAGCUCUGCCCUUAGAAGGGUACCAUUCUUUGUCUCUUCAUCCUUCAAGUGAAGAUGGUGUCACAGAUUACAUUCCCCAAUUACAGUCACGGUAUCUCCCAUUCCAUAUGCUCUUCUUAUUCUUUCCUUUAAUCAUGGGUGAAACUUUGGGACUGCUUCCACCAACAGGAUAUAGUGGAAUCAAUACUGUGUGACUUGAGUCUAGAUUAUAAAAGAACCAUGCAGUUCUUUCAUGGAACAUCAGCUCUUUGAACUCAGCUGCCAUUGUAUGAGGAAGAACAUAAUAGCCCAUGGUAAGACCACCAAGAAAGGCUGUAUGUAGGUAUCCCAGUCAAUAGACAGACAUGUGAGUGGAGACACAUGGCGGGGGGGGGGGGGGGUGUCUAGCCCUUGGCCAUUGUGUCGUCCCUGGCCUUUGAGUCUUUCCAGCUGAGGUCCCAGAUGUCAUGGAACAGAGAAAGUAUUUCCUGCUGUGUCUGUCUGAAAUUCUGACCCAAAGAAACCAUGAAUGUCCUAAGAGGGUUGUCUUAUGCCACCAGGUUUGGGGUGGUUUAUUAUGCAGCAAAAGGAAUGUGAAGGGAUGGUAAUAUUGGUCCUGACUUCCUUACAGUGCUGUGAACAUCAAGUGAGAUUAGUAUGUAUGCCCACACUCUGCACAUUUAAAAAUAGCCUACAAACAAAAGUCAAUAAGCUUGUGUGAAGCAUCUGAACCCAGUUUGAAAAUCACCGUUCUCGGAGUUCCUGUUGUGGCUCAGUGGUAACAAACCUGACUAGUAUCCAUGAAGGUGUGGGUUCGAUCCCUGCCCUCACUCACUGGGUUAACUCUCCAGCAUUGCCAUGAGCUGUGGUGUAGGUCGAAGACAAGGAUAGGCUCCUGCUGUUGCUGUGGCUGUGGUGUAGGCCAGCAGCUACCAUCGUAAUCUGGGAACGUCCAUAUGCCAUGGUUGUGGCUCUAAAAGACAAAAAAAAAAAAAAAAAAACCAUUGUUCUCAUCCAAUCCACUCAUUCUAUGAUGAGAAACAUAGGCCUAGGGUGACUCAUUCAAAAUCACACACUGGCUAUGUGCUUGCUCCAAUUUGCCACGCUGCCUCCAAAAAUGAGAACUAUUUCAGGUAGGACUGUCCUUGUCUGAGAGCCAGAAAGUUGCAAGCAGGGACAAGCAAGAUCACUGUGCGAUAUUUCUUUACAAGCCUCCAUCAGACACUUUGAGCCAUUGCCCAAACAUGCCAAAGACAAGCCUACUUCAUCCCCCUCCCUGCUCCUCUCCCACUCUGUCCUGGUAGCAUAGAUCGUUUCAUCGGGUAAAACAGAAAGAGUAAGCUGCACGUUCCACGCAGAGAUCUGCAGCCUGUCGGCUGGGUGAUGAAUGGAGAUCUGAGCUCAUGUAGAGGUCUGCCUGGCUUGGGUGAAGCUCUGUUUGAUCAGCCGUCAUUGGCAUUCAUGAAGAGUUCCUAAUUGUCACUUGGUGAUGGGGUGCUGCACUGUGGUUAAGUGCGUGGGAGCCUCUCUCACUUAUUAACCUUUAUGUUGCCCCAAAAGCCUUGAGGGCAAAGGCAGGCUGGGAUUCUAAUCAAGUUAUAUUUAAUG
rnacentral:lncRNA from 1 species